UUUCAGCCACUUAUUUCUAUAGUAGUACAUCAUGCAUGUUGAAUGAAUAAAAUUUAAAGGAACGAACAGUUAUGAUCGUUGGCAUCAGGGCCGGCCCGAGCCUUAGGCGACUGAGGCGGUCGCCUAAGGCCCCGGGCCAACGGAAGGCCCCCGGAAGGUGAAGAGAGAGGGAGGGAGGGAGGGAGGGAGGGACCGUGACCAAAAGGAAGCAAAGGCCCCAUAUAAAACGGGAUGAGCUGGCUACGAGUCUUCCCCCUUGAUGUAAGGGAGGUGGAGAGCUUCUUGGCCUGCAGAGGGGAAAUUUAGGAAGUUGGGGACGGUAGUUUUGUUUUGGAUGGAGAGAGAGAGAGAGAGAGGAGG
rnacentral:lncRNA from 1 species